rnacentral:tRNA from 1 species
GGGGAGGUGCCAGAGUGGUCGAAUGGGACCGCCUGCUAAGCGGUUAAGGACUUAUCCUCCUUCGAGGGUUCGAAUCCCUCCCUCUCCG